GUCAGGAUGGCCGAGCGGUCUAAGGCGCCAGACUCAAGGUUUAAUUCCUUCUCAUAAUGCACGGUAGAGUUUUCUGGUCUCCGAAUGGAGGCGUGGUUCGAAUCCCACUUUUGACA
rnacentral:tRNA from 1 species